rnacentral:rRNA from 1 species
AUUGAACGCUGGCGGCGUGCUUAACACAUGCAAGUCGAUCGGUAACAGGUGUAGCAAUACAUGCUGACGAGAGGCGGACGGGUGAGUAAUGCUUGGGAAUCUGCCUAUUAGUGGGGGACAACCCGGGGAAACGUCGGGCUAAUACCGCAUACGCUCUACGGAGGAAAGCCGGGGACCGCAAGGCCUGGCGCUAAUAGAUGAGCCCAAGUCGGAUUAGCUAGUUGGUAGGGUAACGGCCUACCAAGGCGACAAUCCGUAGCUGGUCUGAGAGGACGACCAGCCACACCGGAACUGAGACACGGUCCGGACUCCUACGGGAGGCAGCAGUGGGGAAUAUUGGACAAUGGGGGCAACCCUGAUCCAGCGACGCCGCGUGGGUGAAGAAGGCCUGCGGGUUGUAAAGCCCUUUCGGUGGGGAAGAAAAGUCUCGACCUAAUACGUCGGGACCUUGACGUAACCCACUAAAGAAGCACCGGCUAACUCUGUGCCAGCAGCCGCAGUAAC